rnacentral:rRNA from 1 species
GAUGAACGCUGGCGGCGUGCCUAAUACAUGCAAGUCGAGCGAACGGACGAGAAGCUUGCUUCUCUGAUGUUAGCGGCGGACGGGUGAGUAACACGUGGAUAACCUACCUAUAAGACUGGGAUAACUUCGGGAAACCGGAGCUAAUACCGGAUAAUAUUUUGAACCGCAUGGUUCAAAAGUGAAAGAAGGUCUUGCUGUCACUUAUAGAUGGAUACGCGCUGCAUUAGCUAGUUGGUAAGGUAACGGCUUACCAAGGCAACGAUGCAUAGCCGACCUGAGAGGGUGAUCGGCCACACUGGAACUGAGACACGGUCCAGACUCCUACGGGAGGCAGCAGUAGUGAAUCUUCCGCAAUGGGCGAAAGCCUGACGGAGCAAAGCCGCGUGAGUGAUGAAGGUCUUCGGAUCGUAAAACUCUGUUAUUAGGGAAGAACAUAUGUGUAAGUAACUGCGCACAUCUUGACGGUACCUAAUCAGAAAGCCACGGCUAACUACGUG